rnacentral:rRNA from 1 species
AUGGCGACCAAGGCGGCGCGUUCCCAGCCCCGCCACCCCCCUACUGGAGGAUCUUCCCCGCAAGCCAUGGCGACCAAGGCGGCGCGUUCCCAGCCCCCCCACCCCCCUCCUGGAGGAUGUGCCCCGCACGCCAUGGCGAAGGCGGCGCGUUCCCGGCCGUUCCUUAUGAUUGCCGACAUUGUGAGCAACUACGACCUCCUCCGAGAACCUGGGUCGCUUGGCUUAGAGGUCGUGGAGUGCAAGAGGAGUGCCGUUGGCUGCGGGCCGACUGGCGUGCGCGUCUUGGAGGGCAUCUCGCUCUACUUGGUCCGCGGCGGCGACGAUGACGACCCGCUGCGCUACCCCCGGAUGUGUAUCCGCGUGUCCGACGAGGCGUUCGACCUCCUCAGCGCGGAGGUCGACGACAGGACGGCGCACUUCUGGGGAAGGAAUCUCCGCAUGUGCUGCCGCGUCUUCUCCAUCCAAGGGGAUGUCAUGGUCAUCAGCCUGGUGUUCGUCGCCAGCCACGAUGCCAGACCUUUCCGGGCGUACUACCUCGUCUACGACUCCGCCACCGUGACCCUCUUCAUGAUCCCGUACCUGCCUCCGGAUUGCCGAACCAUCGCUACACGGUGCCCUCUCCCGGUGCGCCGCCAAGAUGACGGACGCUAUUCUCUGGCCUUCUUGGCCUGCAGAUCCAACUGGGUGGGUGAUGACGAGUCAGAUGUUCUCUGCCUGUGGUCACUGCCGCCUCUGCCUCACAAUAUGAAGCCUCCGGCACUGCCGCGUCAGCAGAACGACAUGGAUCCGUGGGUGGCGAAGAGCCGUCGGCCUGCCGUUUCCGACCGCUUCAAUGCGCACGUGGUCUUCUCGUCCAAGGACUAUGCUUUCUGGGUCGAUCUCAUGCAAGGCAUCUUCUACUGUAGCAUCAGUGAUGCUCUCAAUGGUGGAGAGCCCGUGGAUUUCAAGUAUAUCCCGUUGCCCAAGGACUGCAGCAUGCCCACCGACAUAAUGGACGCGGUGCAUGUGCACCGCAAUAUGGGCUUGGUCGGGGACUCCACCAUCUGGUUCGUUGCCAUCGAACCAUCAGACAACAGUGCCAGACACACCAAUGUGAAGGUUUGGACUAUGGACCUCACACAGCUCAUGUCCAAGAAGAAGACUAAGAAGUGGCAAAAACUUGGGGAGUUCAAAAUGCAAAGUAUCUGGCGGAUGUAUGCCUUCCGGAAGAAGGGGCUGCCGAGGACUGAACCCAGGUUUCCCGUCUGGAGGCAACAGCACGGCGGUAGCGUACUUUACAUGCUGCUGCCUAGGCUCAACGACAGGCAUGCCCACCUUGUUGGCAUUCACGUGGGGUGCAGCACAAGUAAGAUGCGUCUUCUGUCGUCCAGAUCUCUCACCAUUCCAUGGAUCGACCACCCUGUUGUGUUGCCUCUUGAUUUCUUCACUCUGGGGGAUACAGUCGUCUGA